CCUACGGGGGCAGCAGUGGGGAAUAUUGGACAAUGGGCGAAAGCCUGAUCCAGCCAUGCCGCGUGUGUGAAGAAGGCCUUUGGGUUGUAAAGCACUUUCAGUGGGGAAGAAAGCCUUGGGGCUAAUACCCUCGAGGAAGGACAUCACCCACAGAAGAAGCACCGGCUAACUCCGUGCCAGCAGCCGCGGUAAUACGGAGGGUGCGAGCGUUAAUCGGAAUUACUGGGCGUAAAGCGCGCGUAGGCGGUCUGAUAAGCCGGUUGUGAAAGCCCCGGGCUCAACCUGGGAACGGCAUCCGGAACUGUCAGGCUAGAGUGCAGGAGAGGAAGGUAGAAUUCCCGGUGUAGCGGUGAAAUGCGUAGAGAUCGGGAGGAAUACCAGUGGCGAAGGCGGCCUUCUGGACUGACACUGACGCUGAGGUGCGAAAGCGUGGGUAGCAAACAGGAUUAGAUACCCCAGUAGUC
rnacentral:rRNA from 1 species